CCCCCCAGGAAGGACAAGAGCAACUUUAUCAACAGGGAGAAAGAAAGACCUAAACUUCAAUAUACAAAAAGUGGAUAAAUGAAGGAAAAUCAAAUUUGAGGGAGAAAAGUGCAGCACAUUAGGAAACACCAUUGAAGAUGCCACUUUACUACCAUCACCUUCAGAAGCGUGUCUUCCACUGACUUUGCUGAUAGCAAGUGGGCUGUUGCUACAGAAUACAAUAUUUUCCUCUGAAACCAAGAUCUGUGCUGACUUCAAUGGAAAAUUUCCUGCUAAUGGAGCAUAGGAUUAAGUAAGAUGAUUUUAUUUUUCACCUCAGUGAAAACAUAAAUGAUGCAGUUGCUUUCCUUACCUCAUCUUUUGUAAAUUAUUAGCUAUACUGCAAUGAUAUUUACUUUGGAAGUAUAAUUUAGUAGGCCAGAAAUUGUGAAAUGUAAAUAUUAGUGCCUAACAGUGAUUUAGUUUGAAUAUAUGACAGCAAUUGGCUAAGUUCUUCCAACCCCUCUG
ensembl:lncRNA